AUGAUAUACACAUUAGGGAGGACCCCUUCCGGAUCUUUGAGAGAGCCACGGCGCUGCUCCUUAUCUUCUUCAAAAGAGAAAGAUCAGAGAGCUUCCCCUGGAGAUUGAGAAAACAAAAACGAACGGCGCCCCUGGAAGCUCCUGUUGCUUCUUCAUUUUUUUUUAAAGGAACGAGCAAAACAAAAGAGGGAAAAAAAUGGAAAAUCGAAAAGGGAACUAAGUUUGGUUUUGGUUUUUGUACUUCUCUUCUCUUAUUUGUCAUUUAGUUCUUCGAUAAGAAAUGCAGUCCAAUUUGAUUUCAAACCAAAAAAAUACAUAAAAAAAGUAUUUCAGUUUUUAUUUGCGGUUUUCAAUCCUGGGGUUUAGUUGAAAUUCAAGGUUAGUUUAUUGUAUACGGUUUCAAGCUUGUUGUUCGAUUGCUGUGUUCGAGGUUGUCAUCGGCGUUGGUUUAUGGUCUGUCGCUGUAUCCGGUCGAGAUCCCUGUUUUGUUUGGUUUAUCUUGCUGCUUACCUCAAAUUACCCGUCUCCAUCAGCUUCUCUGCUUCAACUUGUAUUUGGUUUAUAGUUGAUUUCUUUUAAAUAUCAAGUAAGUUCUAUGAUCUCCUUGUAUUUAUCUAUGCAAAUUGAUAAAUGAAAUCUUGUAUUUUGUCAUACUAGAUGUGGCUGGUGAGUUCAGUAUGCUCAUUUCUAUGAUUUGGUGCUGUUUGCGUUCCCAUAAUGUGAAAUUACAAAAAAAAAAUAUAAAAAAAUUGAUAUGCAAGAUGAUAGAAGAUCCAGUUAGUAUGAUUUUUUGUCGUUGUUUGUUUUAUUGAAAUGUUCAUUUUUAAAUAAGUUUCCCAUUUCUCUGUUACCGAGAGACGGUGUUGUGCGAUCCUAUUGUUCUCAUUUCAUUUUCAAUAUCUAAUAUUAAUUGAGAACUAGAGUUUCUAAGUCUAAUAAUGACUUGAUUACGUUACUGUUCUAAUUUGCAUUAUCCCUUCUGAAAUUGGAUUAUUAUUGCUAUAUGAUGGUUCCCUGAAGUUACUUUUAAACUUUAAAUUAUGAGUUAAAUUGCUAUAUCCUCAUGCCUCCCCAAUUUAGUUCAAUUAGAAUCUUAGCACUACUUUACCUCAAGCGAGCCCAAUUCCAAAGCUCAUUCCGAAAGGUGCCUCAAACUUUAGCCAAAUAAUCACUUAUGUACAUCCAUAGUUCGUUCUAAGUUGAGUGCAACCUGAAAUAAAUUGAGGCGGGCCAGGCCAAAUAAAAUUCCAAAACCCAUGGCCCUCGCUUAAUUAAUUUUGAAUCUUUAGAAAUCGAGGUGUGCCAUUAGUGAACUUUUCAUGGCCCUCGCAAAGUUGCUAACGCGUAGUUGCUUUAGGCGUGUUAUUUUAAUAAUUUACCUUCCUAAGCUCGGGUGCGCAUUUAUGUGACCCAAAUCCAAAUCUCAACAAUGUUAGAUGAAAAUAUGUCGAGGACCGCGGGUGCAUUUAUGUGACAUGGUUCAAGACAUGUUUUAAUAACAUUGCAAUCUUCCUAAUAAUGAAUAAAAGCGGUUAAUAAGUUAAAAUUGAACUAUAGGUUAAAGCAUGUAUUAAAAUCGGAUGAUAGGCCAAUUAUAAAAGUUGAGCGACCGUGCUAGAACUACGGAACUCGGAAAUGCCUAACACCUUCUCCCGGGUUAACAGAAUUCCUUACCCGGAUUUUUGUGUUUGCGGACUGUCAAACAGAGUCAAUCUUUUUCUCGAUUCGGGAUUUGAACCGGUGACUUGGGACACCAUAAAAUUAUCCCAAGUGGCGACUCUGAAUUUGAUAAAUAGAUAAUCCCGUUUCGAUUGUCACUUAAAUUGAAAAAACUCCCUUAUAUACUUCUUUAUGGGGUGUAGGUAAAAAAGAGGUGUGACACUAAUUCACCCUCUGCCUUGUUCAAAUCGAAGCCAUACUCACUCACCUUCUGCCUAAGGUUCUUUAUGAGUUUUUCAUCUUUUGUGCUUCUGUCGGGAUUUUCAGCUACUAUUUUCAUUUUCUGAAUCUGGGCUCGAAGGGCUUCAUUUUCUUUGGCUAGUCUUUUCUUUUCACCCUCAUCCGCCACGACUUAUAAACCACUCUCGAACCGAAGAUCCUUGACUUGCUUCUGUAGCUUGCUUAUGGUAGCCCUAUACUCAUUUUCUUUGGCCAACCAAGCCCACUGUUCUUGUGAUGCCUCGACAAAUUCCUGAAGAUGGGGUAUUUUGGCCGGCCUCCCAAACUCAAUUUCCCUUUUAUACCAAGCAAGGUACCCCGGUGAAACUUCACCUUUGGAUCUAUCACGUACACAGGUAUUUGCCGUCAAGUAUUGACACUCACUCCAAAUCUGGCGGACUGCUGCUUCAUGAAACUGACCAUCAGGGCCAAUCUCGACUACUUGAGCACUAAUAUCUUCAUCUUUCAAAAAUAUUUGGCAUCUCCCCAGCUGUCUCAAAACUCAGUAUGGGGCAUAAGGAUGGAUACUCCUGAGACCCAUCAAGAGGAAAUAAGGCCCGGUAGCUGGCAUGUAUAUGAUCUCAUCUACAGGAAGCCAUCCAAACGUCCACUCUAUUUGGUUUGUAGUGAGGGAACGGAGGUGUGAUACCCAUUCUGUAACCCUUUCUAGCAAGCUGAUUCCAUCAACCCUUGUGUAAAAUUCCUCUAUGCAGGUUUUCUCUGUUGACCCAUAACUCAUGAAUUGAGGACGAUGGCAUGUAUAUUCAAUCAUCCACAUCUGCAGCAACAAAUUGCAUCCCUCAAUAAAGUCUCCUCCGGUUUUGCAGGUUGUGAGAAUGCGGAAGAUUUCUGCUACUAUCGUGGGUGCGAGGGUGCUUUUAGCCUGAGUAAGCAAAGUGCUGACAAUCACAGCUAUUCAUAUGUCGAUAUUCCCGUCUUUCCUAGGAAACACCAGAAGUCCCAAAAAGACCACCAUAAAAUCAAAACACCUGUGUUCUUCCCAUUUGAAGCGAUUCCCUUUGCUACAAAUUUUAUUUUCUGGAUUAUUAAACCCUCCUAUGUGACUGUAUCUCUAGUAUAUAAACUGCGGAGUAGAAAAACCGACUGCCAAAUCUGAGUUGUGAACCCCCCUGCUUAUCUUUAAGGAGUCUAGGAAUCUCUGCACAGCGACGACUCUUGGAGCAACCAGAUACUUGUGUCUCAGAGGAAUCUCAGUGCUCCCAAUAUAUCCGGCUAUUUCUUUCAAAGUUGGGGUGAGUUCAAAAUCUGAGAAAUGAAACAUGUUGUGGGUCGGGUCCCAGAAUGUAACCAACGCCUUUAUGAUGUCCCCUCUAGGCCUGAUCUUCAACAACCCGGUGAGUCCUCCCAAGUAUAGAUUGACCUUAUCUAGCCCUGAUUUACCCAGAUUUUUCCACCACAUACACAGCUCCAAAGGGAUCUUGUUCAUGGUUGUUAUUGACAAAUUUUGACUCGUGCUCAUUCUGCACAUUUAUUAAGGUGAUUAAGCAAAAUCAUGACUCAUUUGACUCAAGAAAAGUUAAAUUUAUUUUCAAAUUGUCAUUUCAAAAAUAAAACCCGGCUUUGCAAAUACAGCCUUUCAGCACCUCCGGGGAGAAGAUUUUAAGGCUGUGCUUGCUAACCGGCUAAAAUUUGAAAAAGAGACCAAAGGGUGGCUGUUCUUGCUAAAACAGCCUUUCGGCGUCCUUUUGGGGGCAUUCGGCUAUUUUAGACAAAAAUGGCAUCACCCCGCUUAUUUAAAAUAAUUUUUUCUGUUCUUUUAGGCUAUUUUUGCAAAAGAGAAGUUGGACCUGAUGGGGGUUGCCUACGUAUUCCACAUCCGGUGAGAAUCAAACUGGCGUAGUUCGGUCAAUUUUGACAAAACAAAAACCAACUCCUUUUUCUUUUUUUUCAAAACAAAACAAAAUUUCUUCUUCUUUUUUUUUUUUCAAAAUUCCGGCAGAGUUUCGGUAUAUUUUGGGACAUCGGUUUUUCAAAACAGAAAAUUAUCUCUUUCAGCUUUCUCAUUGACUUCCCCUAAAUUUUCCCUUACAAGCCGGUCAACCAAAUCCGAAGCAAAUGAAUGCACAAGUAGUAAUUAAGAUGCAUCAGGAUGGUCUUUUCAUUUUGGGUAUACCUGUCCUAGACAGACCCAACCCCUGUGUUGAGUCUCCAAAGUCAAAUGCACAUGAUGCAAACAAAUGUUCCUACUAGGGAUCCGGCAUGAGGCUGAGUUAUUCUAGGUUCAAAACCUGGGUAUUUGUUCUAGACUUGUGUACCCGAGCGGACAACUCGAGCCGAAGAAGGGGCUACAUACCGGGAACCAAAAGGCCAUCCGGCUUAGUAACUUGUACGAGCCUCUUUCUCUUUUCAAGGUAUGACACUAACAGAGUAGGGAGUCUCGACCAGCGAGCACAUCCCCGAAGAUGAGAAGAGAAGGGUUUCGUAGCAGUUUAUAUACAGUUCAGAUAAUAUCAAAGCGGUAAAAGCAUCAUUUAACAUAUUAGGCCCAAACAUGUAAUAAAAUCAGAUAACAGAUAAGACAAAUACAAUAAUUCAUCUAAGCUCGAAUUCUGAACCCUGAACCAGAGAUUCUGGGUUCGGUCCCCAGCAAAGUUGCCAGAGCUGUCACACCUCCUUUUUCCUUACACCCCCGAGAAGGGUAUAUAGGAGUUUUUUCCAACUUAAAGUGACAAUCGAAACGGGAUCAUUUUAUUAAAAAUUCAGAGUCGCCACUUGGGAUAAUUUAUGGUGUCCCAAGUCACCAGUUCAAAUCCCGAAUCGAGGAAAAGAUUGACUCUGUAUUACAGUCCGCGAACCAGAAAUCCGGGUAAGGAAUUCUGUUAACCCGGGAGAAGGUAUUAGGCAUUCUCGAGUUCCGUGGUUCUAGCACGGUCGCUCAACUGUUAUGAUUGGCCUAUUAUCUGAUUUUAAAACACUUUCGAACCUACGUGCAUUUUAACUUUAUAGCCGCUUCUGUUCAAUUUUAGGAAGAUUUCAACGUUAUUAAAACACGUCUUGAACCAUGUCACAUAAAUGCACCCGCGGUCCUCAACAUAUUUUAGGUAACAUUGUUAGGAUUUGGAUUUGGGUCACAUAAAUGCGCACCCGAGUUUAAGAAGGUAAUUUAUUAAAAUAACGCGCCUAGGGAAACUACGCGUUUGUAACUUUGCGAGGGCCAUGGAGAUUCCACUAGAUGGCACGCAUCGAAUUCUAAGGAUUAAAUUAAAAUUAAUUAAAUGAGAGCCAUGCAAUCGUCAUUUUUUUUUGGCACGACACACCUCGAUCUCCAAUUUCAAAAGAGAAUUCAAGCUAAAUGUUUGAGGGCCAUAAAUUAUUUAAGUUAUUGAAUAUGGCUCGCCCCAACUAGUUAAUAGUCUAAUUAAUUAACACUAAAUGUAGUUAAAGGUUCCAUUUAAACUAACUAAGAUGGUUUAUGUGAGGGAAAACCAAUCCAUUACACAAAAAGGCUUGAGCCAAUACAAAAGGACUGAUGGUCCAACAAAAGAAAUGGCCCGGAUCUCGUUCGAAGAACUUUCAGAAUUGGGCCUCGUAAUUGAGCCCAAGUUCGGAGCCCUGCAGCUGCUGAGCACCAGGCUCAACAUCGAAUCCUUACAAUGUACGAGCAAGCUUGAAGCUGUAAAUGAAUUCAGAGGGACAACAACGAGACUAAUACAUAUGCAAGCAAACUUUGGAAUCGUCUUUAACUUAUCAAUAGCCAAUUACACGACAUCCAAUAAUGAUUUGAUCUUGAAAGCAAUUGUGAGUUCCAGUUCUAAUAACUAAUAGUAGGUAGCGGAAUUUAACAUUUUCAACAUCAUAACAACACGACUAAUCACAUUACUUUUGUACAGAGGUUACAAUAUCAAAUUAUUUUUGGUCAUUCAGCAUCUAAUACCACCAAUAGUCUUUUACCAGCAAACAAAUUACUAACCCAGACUCCUAAAAGGAAACUUCAAAUAAACAGCUGAAAUUCAGAAAAGUAAUACAGAAUACUGCAUAUGCAAAUACCUAUUAUGAAUGUCCGUGAAAGUCCCUUUAUACAUAUACACCAAUUCAAACUUUUGAAAUCCAAGCAACUAAGUCAUAACUUGUUCCAUGUUUCAAACCAAAGCUAAUUCUAGAACAAAGAACUUAGUAGGUAUACCCAACAAUAAGAUGAUUACAAACAUAGUCAUACUCUAUUCAACCCUAAAUAUACUCGACCAAGCUAUUUCUGAACUAAGUAAUACACAUUAUGCAUGAAAUUGAAAGAGACAGAAGUGAGAAUUCAAUAGCAACCAUCAUCCAAUUUGUUCAUAUUUCAGAUUCAAGCUUCAGACUACAUUUAAGUGGUGUCCAUGGAAUUGACAAAUACCUGAAAUGAAAGGAAAGGGGAUGUAAGGUCAGCAGUAAAAGCAGCGGUAAGCAGCAGCAGAAAUAAACCUCCCAGAACCAACAUUAAACCAAGAAUUGUGGUGCAGCAAACAAAACAAGCAACCAAAACUUCAAACCAAGCCUUUUAAACCAUCAAACUCAAACCAUUUCAGCUCCACUUAGGCCAGAAAUAAUUUUAGGAAUUGAAACUGGAUAAAUCACAGGGAAAAAAACCCAAUGAAACAAUAACGUUUUACUAAAAAUUGCUAACCGUCUUUGUUUUCUGAACUUUUCUCUUCUUCCCUUUGAAAUGCAAGAAUGAGAUGCCUUUAAAGGCAAGACAAUAGGGCAACCUUAAGGGCUUAGCUUUUGCCCCUCAAUCCUUUCUUAAUUUUUAUUUUUGCUACUUGGUCCCUAAAUUAUUGCCUUGCUUGCCAAGUAAGGCUCUUUUUCAGCUUAUAGGAAGCUUCCUAGGCAGUUAUUUGAGAGCUUCCCUUAGCCAAUUACCUAAACUGCCCCCCAAAUGCCCCUUAAUUACACUCACCAACUCACAGGUCAAGCUGACCCAAAGGCCUGAUUUGAUACGGGUUAAUAACCCAGGUUCAAUUCCUUCUUGGUCUUCUGAUUCCUUAGAGUCCAAUUAAAAUCAAACGAUGAUUCCAAUUUUGAAAAACUGACCCAAACUUUCCUUAAACAAAGCAGCCUGGAACCAUUUAUUUAAAAGCAGCCGAAACCGAAAGCAAAAUGAAUGAACUAACCCAUCUAAUUUCAUAACAGCAAUUUAACUAAAUCAUGGCCUAAUUUCAUUAACUAGGUGAUUAAACUGAUGACGAAACCAUAAUUAUGCUAUUAACACAAAGACUUAGACAAACAAGAUAAGGUGGACUAAAGAAAUUAGAUAAUCAAGCUUUUGAACUUAGAAAACCCAAACAAACUUCGACCAAACCAAAAGAGGAGGGAUGAGGAGGAAGAUGAAACAGUGAAACAAAAUACAAGAGGGGAGGAAGAACUUACAAAAUCACGGCUCGAAACCUAAUUGAAACACUGGCUUAAACGAAGAGUGAUGUUACUCAGUUGUUCUUCGUAAGAACAAUUGAACAAAAUCACUUUCAUGUUCAAACAACCUUCAAUCUUCAGAAGAGCAGGAGCAGGUAGCCAUGCAGACCAUGGAAUCAAGGAUUAACACACUUUGACCUCUUGGGACUUCGGACCCUAUCCCUAGAUUCAAAAUUUGACGGAGUCAGGAAGGAUUCGAGGGGUAUGGGUUAGGGGUUUGGAGAGAAGAGGUCAUGGGGAUUUCAGGAUGUUAGUUUGGGGCUGUUUGGUGGUGGUGCCGCCACCUUGAGGCAGUGGAGAAAAGGGGCGGCGGGCUAGGGUUUGGGGAGAUGGGUCUCUGAAGGGAGAGGAGUGAAGGAGACGAUAUCGGGGGGUGGGGCUUUCAAACACUUAUAUAUCAUUCGAUCCCCACUUCGCAGCCAUUAGAUUAGGCAAACAUCGAUGGCUAGGAUCACACCUGAACUAAAUGGGGUCGUUUUGUUUAGUGGUGGGGAAUUGGGCAGAGACGGGUUUGGGCUGGGUUUUGAAGGGUUUGAACGGGUACAAAGGGGAAAAAAUUGGGCAUGGGUAGAAGGGUUGAAGACUUGGCCCAAGUCUGAUAUCCUCACUCUUUUCUUUUCUAUUUCAAAACAAUUUAUCCCAAAAUUCUUUUUCUCUUCUUUUUUUUCAAAAUUAAAUUAAAAUCUAAAUUAAUUCCUAGAACUUAAUUAACUAAGAAAAAAUAAUUAAACCUAGAAUGAUAAUUAUCACAAUUAAUUAAAAAUAAAUUAACAGAAGGACUACUCAAAAUCAAAGCUAAAAUUAAAAGUGCAAAUUAAACUAUUUUUUGUGAUUAUUCCCAUUUUAUAAAACAACUAAUUUGCUAAUUAAUCCUUAGAAAUGCAAAGUCAAAUCCUAAAUGCAAAAUGCAACAUAUUGUUUUUUUUUUGUAUUAAACGUGCACAGGUAAAUGCAAACAAUUGACAGAAAAUGCCACAAAAAUCCACAAAAUGGCAAACAAUGGGAAAAAUUAUUUUGUUUUAAAUUUGUGAGAGUAAUUCAUAUAGGGCAAAAAUCACGUGCUCACAACAUUUGUAUACAAGCCUCUAAGAAUACAUAAGAUCAUAAAGGUUGGGACAUGGUCUUGCCAUUCCAAUCAAUACAUGUACUAAUCAUACUGACCAUAGAAGCAACUCCAGAGUAAAUGGAGCGCACCAAUACCUUUCGCUGAGCUGUUAACCUACUUGGAGGGCUCUCAUUCUGUCUAUCGGGACUUGCAGACAUGAAACGCAGCAUCCCCAGGCAAAAGGGACAUCAGUACGAAUAAUGUACCGAGUAUGUAAGGCACAUAAAUAAGUAUAUAAAAGAUAUAGAAGAACAUGGAGUAAAUGACUCAACCUGUAAGUCUUGAUAACUUUAUAAAUCAUGAAAUACUUAUAUUGUCAUGCAUAUGCGUAUGAAAGUCAUGUCGUGCAUAGGUACAUGUGUUUGUAACAUCAUCAAGCCUCUAAAGACAUUCCAUCAUAUCAUCUCGGCCACUGUGGGNNNNNNNNNNNNNNNNNNNNNNNNNGAGAAGUACGUCAAUAAAAUCUCUCUGGACGUCAUAAGACCAUUAUACCUCUGAUUAAUAUCAUGAAACAAACUUUAUCAACUUGCGUAUUUUCUAAUACCCAUGAAUAGACGAUAGAAUAAUAAGACAUAUAGGAAUUUAAGAACAUAGACAUCUCUAAUACUUCUCUUAAUAGAGUCAUUUAUGGAAUUUGUGCAUUUGCUCGUUUUGUUCGUGUCGUAUAGAUCAUGCCAAAAAGAAAGAAGGGAUAUCUUUAAUAUACCUGGACCGAUUUUCUUGAUAAUUCCUCUAACACACUUCUUUUGUGAUAAAACACGUAACGUCGGAUCGAAGUAGGGAAAAAAUUCGUAUGAUAUUCUUGAGUAAGAUUGCACCGUACUCCCUUAAACUUGUAAAAUCUUCCGUUGCUAAGAUGCUAAGAAAUCUAUUUGAAUUUUUGUUACAAGAUAAUCUUGUCACAACCAUAAGAAUCCUUGUAUGAAAUGGGCUGAAUCUUUAAUCCCUCAUAUUAUAGAGACAUCAAAUCCCUUAUGCGAUUUAUAGGGAUUUUUUGAACCUUGGUAGAUGUGGGCGCCACUAGGUGAUGACUAAGCCACCUAUUGUAAGUCGUUUUGAGAAUUAACAUCUCGAUUUCCUAUUAACUGCUUUCUCCAUGUUUUUUUUUUCUGUUAUUGUGAUUUGCCGGGGUGGUUCAUCUUGAGUUUUGGUGUGUUUUGGGACACUUAGUCCCUAAAUGAAAGCUUAAGUCUUAGAAUUUAGACAGUAGUCGAAGCAGUGUGAAGACUGCUCCGGAAUAGAAUAUUGUCGAUUCUGUUAGCUCCUUUGGUGAUUUCGGGCUUAGGGGCGUGUCCAGAUUGUGUUUUGGAGGUCCGUAGCUUAAUUAGGCUUGAAAUGACGAAAGUUGAAUUUUUGGAGUUUCGAGCAAUAGUGGAAUUUUGAUAUUGGGGUCGGAAUCUGAUUCUGGAAGUUGGAAUAGGUCUGUAGUGUUGAAUAUGACUUAAGUGCAAAAUUUAGGUUCAGUUGGACCCGGUUUGGUUAGUUUCGGCAUCGGUUGUAGAAUUUUGGAAAUUCAAGUUUAUUAGGUUUGGAUUGGAAGGUGAUUCGUGAUUUUAGCAUUGUUUGAUGUGAUUUGAGGGCUCUACCAAGUUCGUAUGAUGUUUUAGGAUUGGUUGGUAUGUUUGGUUGAGGUCCCGGGGGCCUCAGGUGAGUUUCGGAUGCUUAAGGGAUUUGAAUUUGGACUUGGGCAAAUUUCUAAAGUGUUGAACCUGCUGUUCGCACCUGCAGAGUUCAGACCGCAGGUGCGGUGCUACAGAAGCGGCAGAGUGAACCACAUAAGUGGAAUUGGACUUGUGCAUCAGGGGCCGCAUAUGCGGCUGGGGAACCGCAGAUGCGGCCCCUGCCCGGAUAAGUGAUUUCCGCACCUACGAUGGUUUUUCCGCAAGUGUGGUACCGCUGAUGCGGUGGACCCCCUCGCGGAAGAAGGAUCUCUCGUAGAAAAAGGGCCAAAUCGAGGGUUUUAUCCCAUUUUCAAUUUUGGGACUUUUGGAGCUCGGUGGGAUGCGAUUUCUUGAGAGAUUUUGAAUGAAAAAUAUUGGGUAACGAAUUCUAACUCUAGUUUGAUUCUAAUACAUUAAUCUAUUGUUAUUUUUCUCAUCUAAUUAAGGAAUUUGAGGGUGGAAGUUUAGAAAUAGGGGAAAAAUUUUCCCAAUGGAAAAUUUGAGUUUUGAAUAGGAAUUUGACGUCGGAUUGGGCUGAUUCAUGUACGAGUGAACUCGUGUAGUGAAUGGGUGUUCAUAAUUCGUGUUUUUUACUCGAUUCCGAGAUAUAGGCCUGGGAGAAUUUUUGGACGUUUUUCUAUUUUCUUACCUUAGCUUUGAAUUAAUUAGUUAAACAAGUUGCUUUUAGUUUUAUUUACGUUAUGUAAUUGAUUUGAUUAGAUUUGGGCCAUUCGAAGUUGGAUACUCGUGCCAAGAGCGUGAUAUCGGAUUGAUUUUGAGCUUGGUUCGAGGUAAGUGGCUUGCCUAACCUUGUGGGGGAAUUUCACUUAGGAUUUUGGUACUAUUGUUAUAUGAAUGUCGUGUAGGUGAGGUGACGAGUGCGUACACGUGCUAAUUAUUGAAAACCCCCUUUUCAUUAAGUAAAUAUCUAUGUUUUCCUUUAAUUGUGCAAUACUAGUAUGUGAAGUCUCCUGUUUAGCUUAGGAAAGCAUGCUUAUGCGACUUAACUGUCUUAUCUGCUUUAACUGUUUUACUUGGAUUCUGUGUAUCAUGUUUAGAGUAGGGAUUACCUAUCUCCUGAUAUGAACUUGAAUAGACCUGUAGAUUUUCUUAUUGAGACUGUGGUGUAUUUACUUUGGGACUACGGAACGGUAUUCCGGGAGAUCCCCCAUGCAUGUUUAUUUUGGGACUACGGAAUGGUAUUCGGGGAGAUCCCCUGCAUAUUUAUACUUGGGACUAUGGGAUGGUAGUAUUCGGAAGACCCCUCUGUACUGGAUAUUUACUUAGGGAUUACGGGACGUUAUCCUGAGAGAUCCCCGGUUGCUAUUUCCGUGUACUGAGUUAUUCCUUUGUGUGAUUUCAUUUUUUAUUGAUUGUUAGUAUUUUAACUAUACUGCCAUAUUUCAUGCCAUUUUUCCUCGUUAUAUAUAAUAACCAGUAGGGCCCUGACCUGAUCUUGUCACUAUUCGACCGAGGUUAGGCUUGGCACUUACUGGGUACGGCUGUAGUGUACUCAUGCCCUUUUCUGCACAUGUUUUUCAUGUGCAGAUCCAGGUUCUUCUUCUUCUCAGCCAUACUUCCAGUGAGGCGAGUGGAUCCAGAGACUUCGAGGUAUAUCUGCUGCGUCCGCAGACCUAGAAGUACCUCUCUAUUCUGCCUUUAGUUAUAGACUUUUCCCUGUAUUUUCUUCAUUAUUAGACUUAUGGAGUUAGAAAAGCUAUGUAUUUCUUUAGCUUGUGAUUCAUGAGAUUUCGGGUUUAGGGAGUGCUAUGUUUAGUCGAGAGUGUUAUUAUUGUAUAUGCCGAGCGACAUUUUAAACUCUUUUAUUAUACUUACCUGUUAA
rnacentral:lncRNA from 1 species